GGUUCACCAUGACACAGGUGGAGGCGUGAGUAGCCGACAUCUACUGCGUCCUCUUCGACGCCGCACCCAACGCCAAGUCUGUCAUGCUAGAGCUGUGGUGCAAUCAGCAUGUCGAGUAUUUGACGAAAGGGCUCGAUGCCGAGUAUUGCUUCUCCAAUGUAAAAUUAACUCGAGUGUCGUCCCUGGUUAUUAUUUUGCUUGACAUUUUUCAUUCCAGUCGACCUUGGUUAUUAUGCUAUUGGAUGGUUCAUGGACUCGCGUUGCUGGAUGAAACGCUUGGCGAUGACCUCGAGAACGAUAUUGUAGACUUCUUUUCUCGAUGCCAGGAUAGGUUCAAGCCAAGUAGCUAACAUCCCCUUCUACCCAAGGUCAAGCAUUCAGCGGCGACAUCAGAGGAGACAUCGUCACACGGAAGUUUGGUACCUCGAGCCAUACUUAUCACUUGUUUCUUUCUUUUCUCUUGCCACUGAGUGCAAUCCCUCUUUUCCCAUGCAGCCCCUUCUUUGGACAAGCAAAAGCUCUGGCCGCCAUGGAUGCCAAUGAGAUUCUCGACCAAGGUUCACCUGGGCCUGCAUCCUCCAAAAACAAGAUGCAUCCACCUAUCAAGGUUAGCCGGAAGUUACCAACUUGCUUUGUAAAAGUCUUGGGAUUUUUAAAGUUUGUAGGAACCCUUUUUGAAUAGACGGACAUUUUAGAUAUUUGCUUGCAAGACCAAAAGAAAAUAUGUUGACAAAUGAACCUGCUUAUGCAGAAUGCUUUUGAGGAUAUUCAUACAAAAUUCUUUGUCAGUGUGCUUGCUUGACUGGGUUAAUAAGAAGAAUCAUGCAACAGUCAAGAAAAUGAACUAUUGCCCAUGUACAGAUCAAGUGAUUUUAGUCUCCCUUUCGGGAGAAGCCUAAGCCGAAAAUAACUGGCCUUGAGUACUUUUCAUUCGUAUGCAUUCCAUACUCAGGGAAUAAGUCUUGCGUAUGUGUGUGUAUACUGGAAUUGUAACUCACUGUAGUAAUUCAUAAUUAGUUCCAUCUUUUACUUUGAUACUGCAAAAAUAGGGAGGAAAUAUUGUGUGAGUCAGUAUCUCAAAGAUAAACAAGGGGAAGAUUUUAAUAUGCGGUGUCUCAGGCUGUUGAUUUUUUAGGCUUAUUUUGGCCAUAGAUUUAUCCUGUUCAUACGCUUAAAUAAAAUAGUUAAAGUUCAUGUCUAUGAUUUGUAUGAAAAAUAUGGGAUGUGCUUACGAAUCUGCAAUAUUUUCAUCCUAUAGGGUUUACUUCUUUCAGCUCUUGGUUGUAUGCCUGAAUAGAAUAACCGAAGUUCGAAUUUAUGUGUGGUAACAAACUAAAUAUGAGAAGCAUUUGUCAUGUUCUAAGAAAUAGUAUAUUGUAAACGAUCGGGUGAAUUUUGCACUUCCAUUUCUAGGUGUGUUGUUUCAGGAUUUUGGAGCUUCCUGUCUAUAUUUCCGGAUGCCUUUUGUGGUUUCAAAUAGUGGUGCUUCUCAAGUUGUUUUGUUUGCAGGUCUGGCAAUAUUCAUUUGCGCCUAGCUCCUAACAUACAUGGAUCAAUCAUUUUAUUAUUUUGUCAUCUCAUGUACUUUCACAUGAUGUUAGAGUUCAUUGUCUGAAUUGUUAUUUAGGUGAUAGCUUUGUGAAAAUAAUAAUAGUUAGAAGCUCAGAAUCGUGAGAGAUCGAUGGUAUUUCCAAACUGGAAUGGCAAUGCUAAGUCUAAAUUUUACAUUCAAGUGGAAAUCAUGUUGGUAUUUGGUGCAUGACAAGGUGCAAAUUUCCUAACUUUUGCAAGAUGGUCUGCUUGGUUUGUGCUGAUCUGCUUAAGUCUUUGUUCAACGAUUAGAUACGAAGUCUACUCGCCAGGAGGAGCAUGAAUAGUACAUCGAUAGAGGAAGUAGGAGUUCUCCGAAAUGAUCAUCUACAAGCACAGUACAUAUUUGUUGAUUGCUAGCACUAUCUAUGUUUCCAUAGCAUUGUUUCCAACUGCUGUAACACCUAUUUUUACAAUAUAAGGUAUGAACUACCUGGCUUUAUUUUGAACUUAUGUACUGAUGUAGAAUGAUGGCUCCUGUUUUUUACUUGCUGGUAUGAACUGUUUCGUUGUAUUUUGUAAAGCUCAAGAAUUUACUUAUGAUGCUAACUAACAUUGCUACAACAUUUGUAUAGACUACCUCUAAUAAUUAUCCUUUCCUUGCCGUUUGGCAUUUUUUUUGUACAAUUGCUCAUUAUCUUAUCAAUGUUGAAGCUACAUAUAUUAGAAACACUUAUUAAUUACAUUGCGUUGGAUGCAAGCUGUUGUUCUGCUUGCUGUUACCUCUUUUGAAAUACCAGGUGUUUGAUCAGCACCUAAGGCAGAUAGCUAGCGCACUUCCUAUUAGCUAUAAACUUCUCUAUUUUCUUCUUCACUUUAUUAUUAUCAUGUAUGAACACAUAUGCUAAAUCUGGAUUCAUGUACCUGUUUGAUCAAAACGUUGGGACCGGCACCCUCGCGCC